rnacentral:antisense_RNA from 1 species
GAGGUUCGCGCUGGUGGAGCACCCCAGCUUGCAGGUUCAGCGUGGGUAUCUCUCCCAGGCACAUCGAGCUGUCUAGAGGAACCCCUCUUCCCCCGGCUUCACGGCCUAGAGGACGCACGGCUCUCUCCCCUCGAGAGCCUGUUCCGUCGCCCGCGCGGGGAACGCGAAGUGCUAGGGUAGUCACGGCCACUUCACGCCGAGGGACAUCUCAUCUCGCCCUCCAGGUCGUGAGCGUACCCAUUCCGCUCACUGAGGCCGAAAGCUUUGGACCUCUGUGGGCCCUGAGACUUCAGAGUUCCAUGUCUGCUGUGCUGUGGAACCCAGAGUGCUCUUGCCUGGAUGGCUGAGAAUCCCUUGGACCCUGGAAGCACCUACUCCAUGAUGGCCCGCAGGAGGACCAAACUGGAGACAGUCCUGGCUCUGAGAAACAGGAAGGAAGGAGGGUGAAAGGAAGGUCCACCUGCACACAAAGGAAAGAUGAAAAAGAAUCACCUACCAUGGGAGCUGGCAAAGUACUUCAGAACUUUUAUUCCUUCCAGAAGCAGUGUAUCACGAUAGAUUGAAUCAAGAAGUGACAUUAAGGCCGGCACAGUGGCUCACGCCUGUAAUCCCAACACUUUGGGAGGCCGAGGCAGGCGGAUCACAAGAUCAGGAGAUCAAGACCAUCCUGGCUAACAUGGUGAAAC